rnacentral:lncRNA from 1 species
UGCAAUUUAAUGGUUUUUUGUCGAGCCUGCAACUUUUGUUGCAGAAAGCUCGACAUAGGGAUAGUGAUCCGGCGGCGGUGUUAGCUAACUUCUUAAAAGCUUUAUAUUUUAGAAGGUGGAAGACCUGGAUGCUUCAUACUUUGUAUAUAGAUGCCUCAUGUUACGAAGUUUCCGUCAGUCACAUGUCCAAUGUCCUUGACCUCAUUUUCAUGGUUCAGUGACCACUUGAAAAAAAAGUUCAGAUUGUUUGUAAUGUUGAAUUCUCUCUUAUUAUAAGUAAUAGGAUAACUAUAUUUGAUAUAUGCGUACCUUGAAAGGUCCUCAUGUCUGUCAGACAGUUUUCACUUGACCUCGACCUCAUUUCAUGGAUCAGUGAACAAGGUUAAGUUUUGGUGGUCAAGUCCAUAUCUCAGAUACUACAAGCAAUAGGGCUAGUAUAUUCGGUGUAUGGAAGGACUGUAAGGUGUACAUGUCAAACUGGCAGGUGUCAUCUGACCUUGACCUCAUUUUCAUGGUUCAGUGGUUAUAGUUAAAUUUUUGUGUUUUGGUCUGUUUUUCUCAUACUAUAUGCAAUAGGUCUACUAUAUUUGUUGUAUGGAAUGAUUGUAAGGUGUACCUAUCUAGAGGGCAG